rnacentral:lncRNA from 1 species
AAAAUUAGCAUAGGAACUUUAUUUGUAAUUUUCUUAGAAUUAAUUUUGGCACCUAAAACACCAACCUAGGUAAACUUAGAGUUUCUAAAAAAAACCUCUAAAUUUACCAAGGCCGGUCUAGAAAGCCCAUGGAGGGGGUGAACAUAAAAAACUAGACACACCCCUCCCCAUGUGCUCAUUUGUGCACCCAUGUGCCAUGUGCACCCAUGUGCUUCAC